GGAAAGGAACCUAAGAUUUUGGAACUCUGAGACUAUGCUGAAUCUGCUAAAAUUUUGAGAUGCUCUCUGUUCUGGAGGUGACACGGGGUGACAGUGGUGCUCCAUAUUCCUGAAGACACCUGGAAAUAUUGUGGGACGUGCCCUGAGUUGACAUCAGGCAGGUCCUACCUUCCUGAUUGGCCCCUGUUGGUGCUUGAAGAGCCCACUGAAACAACAGACUGAGCAAAGACUUUUAAACGCUGCACGUGGAAUCUACCUCAAAGAAUAUCUAGUUCAAACUGGUCAUUUUGCAGAUGAGAAAACUGAGGUCCAGGACCAUGAAGAGUUAACAGAGGAUUAACACUAAGGCUCUGUCCCCUGAUUUCCAUCCCAGUGGUCUCUUUCCAGCACACAGGCUGUGCCACAGAUUUUAUAGGCAUCUGGAAUUUUGCUGGCAGGGUUACUUCUAAGAAAUCUUUCGGUGGAAUCUCUUUAAGUGGCCCCUGGAAUGUAAGCACUAUGGGCAGUCUGUAGUGACCCAGAGCUCCAAAACAGAGUUUCUAAACAGGCAUGGCAGCAAAUCCCAGCAACAUCAGGCAGAUGCUUUAGACAUUUAAGGAUCUGCAGAUACUGCAGAAUCCCUCAGUUGUGUGGUCAGCACAUUACAACUCACAUAACUGUAAAAUUUUGCUGCAAUAAAAAUUAUUUUUAUAAUAAAAAACAUACUGUUAUAAAAGUA